CAUAAUUUCAGUGCCCGGCAGGAAAUAUUGUACAUCGACCUUUAGAAAGAGAUAACAGUUUCGUAGAGGGUUGUCCCUGUCAUUGAGACCGACUAAACGUCACAUAGGUACGAGUGAAAGAGACAACGCUCUACGAAGCCGAAACCUCUUUCUAAAGGUCGAUGUACAAUAUUUCCAGCGGGCUCCUAUACAGAGAUA